ACCUCGCUGCCUGCUGUGGGCUGGGACAGGUGGGGAUAGGAUCAGGGACAGACUUUCUGUUUGCUUGUGAGGGGAAGGUAAACAUUGCAAACAUUCCUUGUCUCCCCUCAGCCCUUUUCAAGAGGGGUAUUUAUUAAAUACUGGGAAGAACUGAAGGCAGACUGAAUAUUUGGGGGGAGGGAUACUUAGAGACACAUUUUAGUGAUGACGAAUGGUAAACAUGUCAGGUCACAGAGGCAGGAGAAAAGAAGUCAGAUGCUCAGGCCACAGCAAGUUUUGUUGGAUGUUUUCAUGCUCACAGCAUCACCUGAAAGGAUCUCCCAGCCCUACUUACCCAUCAGGCGUGGGGAGAGAUGCCAAAGUGUGCAGAAGAUAGUUUAUGGAAGCAGGGAGCUCUUCCCAGUGCAUCAAAGUCUCACAUCUUCUGUUUCCCCCCUCAAGUGCCUGCAUCUCUCCUGGGGAUGUCACACAUCAUCUCACACACUCCAACCAGGAUGCAGCAUCCAAGUUCCAGUUAUUUCUGUCUUGGAAAAUAAAAAAGUCUACCAGAGGAAAAGGAAUGUGAGUUUGCAGCAAAGUUUGGUACCUGGAAGACUCCAGGCUGGAGUGCACACUCCUGAUUUAUGGUGUACUUGUUAAAACCACUUGUUCUUGUCAUAACAAAACAGAUCGAAGUAAAGCUGGGUAGAAGGUCCCUUUCUAGCUGGCACUUCAUCAUGGCUUCUUACUCUGUCUUAGGUUCUGGGGGUUUACAGUUAUAUAAAACUUAAUGAAUCAGUAUACUUUAGAUUUCCUUCCUAAUGCAUAUGGGUUCAAUUAACUGCACUGUUUGCUUAUUUAAGUGUUUUCAUUAAAUUGCUUUACUAUAUUUUCCCGCAAUUGAAAGGGAACAUGGUGGGGCUGAUGCCAUCUGCCACCAUCAGUUUAGCAGAACCUUUUUCUUUGUUCAGGUCCAUUCUUUUUUAUUAGAAGACACCCUCCUACCCCCAGUUCCCUGUGUACCAAGCAGUUAUUGCAUUCUCCUCUUCUGACUGCAGACUGAUAAAUAAAAAGCUUGAGCAAGGGCCUUCA
rnacentral:lncRNA from 1 species